GACGAACGCUGGCGGCGUGCCUAAUACAUGCAAGUCGAACGCAGUGGGGACGGGUGCGUAACACGUGGGUGACCUCCCAUCAGAGGGGAUAACACUUGGAAACAAGUGCUAAACCGAUAUUGAUGGAUGUUCCCGCGGUGCAUUAGCUAGUUGGUGAGGUAACGGCUCACCAAGGCCACGAGCCAUAGCGGACCUGAGAGGGUGACCGGCCACACUGGGACUGAGACACGGCCCAGACUCCUACGGGAGGCAGCAGUGGGGAAUAUUCGGCAAUGGACGAAAGUCUGACCGAGCAACGCCGCGUGAGUGAAGAAGGUUUUCGGAUCGUAAAACUCUGUUGUUAGAGAAGCGGUAUCUAACCAGAAAGCCACGGCUAACUACGUGCCAGCAGCCGCGGUAAUUC
rnacentral:rRNA from 1 species